CCUACGGGCGGCUGCAGUGAGGAAUAUUGGUCAAUGGGCGAAAGCCUGAACCAGCCAAGCCGCGUGAGGGACGACGGUGCCAAGGGUUGUAAACUUCUUUUGUCAGGGGGCAAAAUCCGGAUCGGGAGCCUGAUCGGGGUUACCUGAGAAAAAGGAAUCGGCUACCUCGGGGCAAGAAGCCGGGGUAAUAGGGAGGAUGCGAGCGUAAUCCGGAUUUAUUGGGUUUAAAGGGUGCGUAGGCGGAGUUUUAGGUCAGCGGUAAAAGCCGGGGGCUCAACCCCGUCCAGCCGUUGAAACUGGGGAUCUAGAGAGUGCGAGAGGUAUGCGGAAGGCGUGGUGUAGCGGUGAAAUGCAUAGAUAUCGCGCAGAACCCCGAUUGCGAAGGCAGCAUACCGGUGCCGAUCUGACGCUGAGGCACGAAAGCGUGGGUAUCGAACAGGAUUAGAUACCCCGGUAGUC
rnacentral:rRNA from 1 species